GUCCCCUGUGAAAUGGAUUCAAGAACGGCUCGCAUGGGGCAGGUGCUAGCCAGCAGGUGAGCCAGCAAGGACUCACAGCCCGGCCGACCGACCAGAGCUGGGACCGGACCUGGGAGCUGUCUGGCUCUCUCCAAGCCUCGCUCUCCUCAUCUGUGAAACAGAAUGACGCCAUUCCCAGUCCGAGAGAAACCAGGACCCUAAUGCACAUGGAACCCGCAGGAUGCCAUGAGCAGAAGAUCGAUUGGAGGCUGCUUAAAAAGUGUGUGAUAUAAUCCAAUAAAAACAGAUGAAAAUAUCCUCCUGAAGGGAAAACAGAGAAGAGUAAAUGAAGCUAAGUCCAAGGGCAUGCAACAGAAAAGAGACACAGCGAGAGAGGAAACACAAGCAGGGGGAGUGGGAGAGGGAGAAGCAGGCCUCCCACGGAGCAGGGAGCCCGAUGCGGGGCUCGAUCCCAGGACCCUGGGACCAUGACCUGAGCCGAAGGC